rnacentral:lncRNA from 1 species
UUUUUUUUUUGGUUUGUUUAUUUUUUCUGAAUCUAAAGAGUAACCUGAUCUUGUGAGCUGAGCCAGCUUCCUCUUUUGUACGUGAUAUGGACAGUGUGAAGCUGGAGUGACCCUUGGAUCCUUAUGGCGCCGCGUGUGGUGGUGAUGUGCCCUGAUGGAGGCAGGGAGGCAACCUGGCUGGUCUGGGCCAGACACUGACUUUUCCCCUCGCUUCCUCAAGCAGUUUGGCAAAAGCUGCUGGAAUUCCAGGAGACCUGGAUACCUACUGGUCUGGCACUGCACCCAUCUGCAUGGGGGGCUGCAAGGGGAAGCAUAAGGAGCUGAAGAGGAGCCAGUGUGGGAAUGGCAGCUGCUGCUGGCUGGGCUACAAGUCCUUCUGCCGAGUGAACUGCGGGCGGCCCGAGGCGGACUUCAACUCAGUGGUGUAUGGCAAUGACUGGUGGGUGGGCUCCGUGGUGCGCUACAGCUGCCGGCCCGGCUUCCUGCUGCUGGGGGACCCGGCCAGCGCCUGCCAGUCCAACGGCCGCUGGACGCCCAAGCCCACCUGCCUCCGUGAGUAGCAUGGGGUGGGAUGGGAUGCUGUUCCAGAAGCCCACCGUGGGGAAAAGGCUGGUGGGCACACUGGGGUUGCGCUCCAGUCUUGUGCUCUUGCAGGGAUCUGCCUGCGAGGCCGGAUCGAGAUCAGCGAGCGGGACAUCAGCGGGAGGUGCUCGUCGUCCUGCAGCACCCAGAGCCACCUGGGAGCCUCCCUGCACCGCGGCUGCAUCAAGAUCUCCUCCUGCAGCACCAAACGCUCGGGCUGGGUGCGCUGGUUCCUGCGCUGUGAUGUCUGCGAGUGCGACUGCCACGUGCCCUGCGGGGAGACCCGGUAGCGGUGCCCGCCUCUGCUUCUUCCUGGUAGAGCCGAGCAUUCUGCGCUGAGGUCUGCUGGCCACGCAUCUCCAGUGCUGGGCUCUUCCUUUCCAUAAUCUCCAUCCAUCCUGAUGCUGUCAUCUGGGAGAAGAGGUUUGGGACUGCCUUCCUGCCUGGCCCCAUCACACAGCGUGCAGGGAAUGCUGUGGGCAGCAGGAGCAGGGCAGCUGCAUUGAGGACUUGGAGACCUCCGUCUCUCAGCCGUUCUUCCUGGCUGCUCCCCGGAGAAGGCUCACAUCCUCUUCUAGCAGGGAGGCAGUGCUGUGCCUGUCCUGCAGGCUGCCGUUUCUCUCUGCCAGCUAUUUCCUGCCCCUGUGUGCAG